GUUGGUGAACCAGCGGAGGGAUCAUUACCGAGUUUACAACUCCCAAACCCCUGUGAACAUACCAAUUGUUGCCUCGGCGGAUCAGCCCGCUCCCGGUAAAACGGGACGGCCCGCCAGAGGACCCCUAAACUCUGUUUCUAUAUGUAACUUCUGAGUAAAACCAUAAAUAAAUCAAAACUUUCAACAACGGAUCUCUUGGUUCUGGCAUCGAUGAAGAACGCAGCAAAAUGCGAUAAGUAAUGUGAAUUGCAGAAUUCAGUGAAUCAUCGAAUCUUUGAACGCACAUUGCGCCCGCCAGUAUUCUGGCGGGCAUGCCUGUUCGAGCGUCAUUUCAACCCUCAAGCCCCCGGGUUUGGUGUUGGGGAUCGGCGAGCCCUUGCGGCAAGCCGGCCCCGAAAUCUAGUGGCGGUCUCGCUGCAGCCUCCAUUGCGUAGUAGCUAACACCUCGCAACUGGAACGCGGCGCGGCCAAGCCGUUAAACCCCCAACUUCUGAAUGUUGACCUCGGAUCAGGUAGGAAUACCCGCUGAACUUAAGCAUAUCAAUAAGCGGAGGA
rnacentral:rRNA from 1 species